CUCCAAUAGCGUACGUUAAAGUUGCUGCAGUUAAAAAGCUCGUAGUUGAACGUUCGGGUUCCGCGGGACGGGGCCGCCCCGCGAGGGACGGCGCCGCCCCGGGGCUCGUGAUAUCUCAUCUCGCCGCCCGUCGCGAGGCGGACGGAGGGAUGGAUGAGGUUACCUGGAAAAAAUCGGGGCGAUCUAGGCGGGCGAACCUCGCCAACGAACGAUCGGACAUGGGAUAACGGAAGAGGGCGUCGGCUCGACUUCGUCGGUUCCUCGGGGCCCGAGGCACGUACGGUGAAUAGGGACGGUCGGGGCCGCCCGUACCGGGUCGUGAGAGGUGAAAUUCUAGGAUCGACCCGAGACGAACCGCCGCGAAAGCAUUCGGCAAGGACGCUUUCAUUAAUCAAGAACGAAAGUCGGGGGAUCGAAGACGAUCAGAUACCGUCGUAGUCCCGACCGUAAACGAUGCCGACCGAGGGCCCCGGAGGAGUUACGUACGACCCUCCGGGCCCUCCCGCGAG
rnacentral:rRNA from 1 species